UUUGGUGCCGAAAUGCCCGAAGUCGUCUGUUCUUAUAGCGGCUUCCAGAACAACUCUACUUAAAAAGGCCUCAAAGGUCUUUAAAGAUUAUUAUUGAAUAAUCAACAUAAAUCUCGGCUCCAGUCGACUACACACUACAACACGCUGCUCGAUGCUCGUCGUACUGUAGCAGUCGUCAAUGGUUGUUACUCCGAUUUCAACACAAAUCUAGUUUCCCGAGUUCCGUCUUGCUGAUGUACAACAGCGAUCGUCAUACAAGAAUACAACUUGGACUGAUUAAAUAAUGAUUUAGUAACAAACAGCAUUGUGGAUUGUGGAGUUUUUGACAUGCAGAUGCUACACAUUACUGCAGAACCUGAAAACUAGUUGAUUGAAAAUAUACUUUUGUUAAAAAACACGUAUAUACUAAGUGAUGUUUCAAAACAAUCUACCAACUGUCAGUGAACUACUAGAAUUACAGGAUUGUUGAAUAGUCCCAAGAAAACGAUGCUGCUUAUUCUAUUAGAUAAGUAUACUAAUAUUCAAAUCCAUUAUUUUUUCAUGAUAUUUUUAUAGAUACGUAAUUCUUUAGGGAAUAUGAAUAAUUUGUACAAUAUUAAUAAAAAUACUUAAAAUAAUAAUUAUUAUAGUUAAAAAAUAUAAAAAUAUCCAUAUUUUUAUUAUUUUUUCAUCGAGAAUAUAAUAGGCCGUGCUAAACACGUCCACACAGGGACAGGCUCAAAUGUAAAAUAUAUAAUUAAUAUUACAAGUAUCCUUUGUUUUAUGAAUAUAUGUUUAUUAAUUUUCAUUUUUAUAAUUAAUAUAAAUACAAAUAAUACAUAUUAUUCAAAUUUUUUGAACAUGAAUAUAAAAAAAAGUUACAAUUUAAUUAAUCAUACUCUACCAUUUUGGAUCCUGGUUAUAUCAUCAAAAUAAUGAAAUAUUAUACUAUAUUAUAUAUUUAUUGUUAUAUCUCUAAUUUAUAUUUUCUUGUUUAUAAGUUAUUAAUAUCAUAAAAACAAAUAAUAUUUGUAUACUAAUCAUUUUUGUUUUAAAUUGUAGCAUAUUUUUUUUAGUAAUUUAAAAUUUUUUUAUUAUAAUAAUAUAUGAUGGUAAUUUAUUGAUAAAAAUAUAUUUAUUAUAACAGUGCUAUAUUUUUAGUAUUUUUCAAUUUGAUGAUAAUAGCUAUUAUGAUCAAAUAAAAUGUAAUCUAGUUACUAAUAUUUUAAAUUUUACUUAUAUUUCAGGUGUUUUUCCUUCAUUAAACCGACUUUCAAAUACAGUGAUUUUAAGAUUAAACAUACAAACUAUCAUCAAACUAAUAUCUACAUAAAAAAAUUUUUUCAAUUAAAUACUAAUUUUAGUUAUUAGUUAGGUUAGAUAAUAACUUAUUGUCUUGUCUAAAUAUUAAUAAUACAGACAAUACAAUUAAUCAAAUUUAAUGGUAUUAAGUAUAGAAAAGUAAAAGGAGUAAUAAUAAAAAAUUCUAGUUAACUAAUUAUUGAUUUUACAUGUCUGUUCAUUGUAUUUAUCUAAUGACUAAUGAGUUAAUCUGCAAGAAGUUAUUCAUUGUUAAAUAGGUCUAAGUAAAAGCCAAUAUAGUUAUAUUCUUAUAAUUCAUAUAAUUAAUUUUAUUUUUUUUUUAAAUAUUUAUUGGCGUAUUGUGCAUAGAAAUCAAAAGCAUUUCUUACUUAAAAAGUUACUCAUCAUAUUUUUUUUCAGUGUAUAUAGAUUGAUAUCUGAUAAAUAACUUAACAUAAUAAUUAUUAUAAUAUAUAAAUUAUUAAAAUAUUAUGUCCCAGUAAAAUUGAUUAACACACAUAUUAUACAUUUAUAACUGUUGUAAUUUUCCAACUAUAUAAUAGUAAUAGGUCACAUAAAUUCAAGUUACUAUUACAUUUUUUUAAUACUAGAAUACAUAUUACACAAAAUAUACUUAAUACUCAUAUGGUAUUAGUCUUAGAUAAGUAAAUAGUUUGUAGGUAGUAGGUACCUAUUGGAAAUAGCCACUUAAUAUAAUUAUUAAAACCACAAUUAAGUAAUGAUAAACAUAUUUCAUACCUUAAAACAUUAAUGAGUUCAUAUUUUAAAUUUUGUUUUCCAUAUUUUACCAUUUUUUUAAACUUGAGUUCAUAUUUGGUAUGAUUUAGAUAAAGAGCAUAUUUUGUAUAAACUAUUGCUAUAAAAAUUUUU